rnacentral:rRNA from 1 species
ACGGGGGGACGCAGGAGGGUAGGGUGAGCAGACUGUUGGAUAUGUCUGUCCAAGCAGUGAGGCGUGUGUGUAGGCAAAUCCGCACACUGUAACGCCAGGCUGUGAUGGCGAGCGAAAUAUGAAGUAGCGAAGUCCCUGAUCUCACACUGCCAAGAAAAGCCUCUAGCGAGGAGUGAGGUACCCGUACCGCAAACCGACACAGGUAGGCGAGGAGAGAAUCCUAAGGCGCGCGAGAAAACUCUUGCUAAGGAACUCGGCAAAAUGACCCCGUAACUUCGGGAGAAGGGGUGCCCCGGUAGCGUGUCAAAGCGCGAGGGGGCCGCAGUGAAAAGGCCCAAGCGACUGUUUAGCAAAAACACAGGUCUCUGCGAAGCCGCAAGGCGAAGUAUAGGGGCUGACGCCUGCCCGGUGCUGGAAGGUUAAGGGGAAAGGUUAGCACCUUCGGUGCGAAGCUUUGAACCGAAGCCCCAGUAAACGGCGGCCGUAACUAUAACGGUCCUAAGGUAGCGAAAUUCCUUGUCGGGUAAGUUCCGACCUGCACGAAUGGCAUAAUG